UGUAAAAUAAGACAUACUAUUAACUAAAUAUCUAACAGUUUUCUGGUUCGCUAUUGUAAAUGAAUAUAAACUAGAGUACGUUUCAAUUCAAAACAGUUCGAAAAAUGCAAAAUUUGGGCAAUAUUUAUUUCUGUGGGUCGCCCUUUGCUAUGAACAGAACUGAUGUGCAGAACGAACUUGACAAGGUCUUUAAACAUUAAAAAAAUCCAAAUAUAUAUAAAAAAAUCAAAAAAUCGAAAAAUCAAAAAAUAAAAAAAUCAAA
rnacentral:lncRNA from 1 species